AUUGAACGCUGGCGGCAGGCUUAACACAUGCAAGUCGAGCGGAGAUGAGGUGCUUGCACCUUAUCUUAGCGGCGGACGGGUGAGUAAUGCUUAGGAAUCUGCCUAUUAGUGGGGGACAACAUUCCGAAAGGAAUGCUAAUACCGCAUACGUCCUACGGGAGAAAGCAGGGGAUCUUCGGACCUUGCGCUAAUAGAUGAGCCUAAGUCGGAUUAGCUAGUUGGGGGGGUAAAGGCCUACCAAGGCGACGAUCUGUAGCGGGUCUGAGAGGAUGAUCCGCAACACUGGGACUGAGACACGGCCCAGACUCCUGCGGGAGGCAGCAGUAGGGAAUAUUGGACAAUGGGGGGAACCCUGAUCCAGCCAUGCCGCGUGUGUGAAGAAGGCCUUAUGGUUGUAAAGCACUUUAAGCGAGGAGGAGGCUACUGAGACUAAUACUCUUGGAUAGUGGACGUUACUCGCAGAAUAAGCACCGGCUAACUCUGUGCCAGCCGCCGCCGUAA
rnacentral:rRNA from 1 species